rnacentral:rRNA from 1 species
GACGUAGGGCGCGAGCGUUGUCCGGAUUUAUUGGGCGUAAAGAGCUCGUAGGCGGCUUGUCGCGUCGACUGUGAAAUCCCGCGGCUCAACUGCGGGUCUGCAGUCGAUACGGGCAGGCUAGAGUUCGGUAGGGGAGACUGGAAUUCCUGGUGUAGCGGUGAAAUGCGCAGAUAUUGGGAAGAACACCAGUGGCGAAGGCGGUUCUCUGGGACGGUACUGACGCUGAGACGCGAAAGCGUGGGGAGCAAACAGG